UGUGUCUUUCAAGUGAGUACGAUAAAAUAUGUACCUGGUGUUUUGCUGUAUGGAACAUAAUCCUUGGCCUAACGUGGAGCAUUCUGGGCUAUCUCGCUGUAAUCGGACAUGAACAUGGUCUACACUCUAGGUACUACGACAUUGUAGUUUGUUUGUACACCGUUACGGUCUGUAUUUGUGCGCCCCUACAUUUGUUGUCGGGCAUAUUGAUAAUCGUUGGAGAUUGGAAGGAUAGCCAACAAACGUUCAAAGUAGGCAAAAAUCUAAGCAAUUUAUUCCCAUUCUUUUUGCUCGGGACUAUCAUUUUUCCAGUUAUACAUUUCAUUGGCCUGGGCAGGGUUUGUAGCUAUUAUGAAAAGCGCUGGAAGUGAUUUGAAUUCUGUGCAUCGCUUCUGCGCUUUCAGUGUUGUGUGUUUCAGUUUCAAAGUGUUAUCCAGCACUUAAAUGAAAGGCCCAGUCCUGGGGGCCGUCAUCAUCAUCAGCAGAUCCAUCAAUGGCUACAGAGGCAUCCUUUAGCUCCUUCUACACGGACCGCUUAACAUUACAAUUUAACCUAAUACUUAUACAUAUGUUCAUAAUUAAUUUCUUCAACUUAUUUCUUUUUAUAAAUCUAAU